UACGAAGGGGGCUAGCGUUGCUCGGAAUCACUGGGCGUAAAGCGCACGUAGGCGGACUCUUAAGUCGGUGGUGAAAUCCUGGAGCUCAACUCCAGAACUGCCUUCGAUACUGGGAGUCUUGAGUCCGGGAGAGGUGAGUGGAACUGCGAGUGUAGAGGUGAAAUUCGUAGAUAUUCGGAAGAACACCAGUGGCGAAGGCGGCUCACUGGUCCGGUACUGACGCUGAGGUGCGAAAGCGUGGGGAGCAAACAGG
rnacentral:rRNA from 1 species